CAGCAGCCGCGGGAAUACGUAGGGUGCAAGCGUUGUCCGGAAUUAUUGGGCGUAAAGAGCUCGUAGGCGGUUCGUCGCGUCUGCUGUGAAAACCCGAGGCUCAGCCUCGGGCUUGCAGUGGGUACGGGCGGACUAGAGUGCGGUAGGGGAGAUUGGAAUUCCUGGUGUAGCGGUGGAAUGCGCAGAUAUCAGGAGGAACACCGAUGGCGAAGGCAGAUCUCUGGGCCGUAACUGACGCUGAGGGGCGAAAGCAUGGGGAGCGAACAGGAUUAGAUACCCGCGUAGUCCUUGUCUCUUAUAC
rnacentral:rRNA from 1 species